rnacentral:piRNA from 1 species
UGAGAACUUGUUACUUUCUGCCUGUCCUG